GACGAACGCUGGCGGCGUGCUUAACACAUGCAAGUCGAACGGAAAGGCCCUGCUUUUGUGGGGUGCUCGAGUGGCGAACGGGUGAGUAACACGUGAGUAACCUGCCCUUGACUUUGGGAUAACUUCAGGAAACUGGGGCUAAUACCGGAUAGGAGCUCCUGCUGCAUGGUGGGGGUUGGAAAGUUUCGGCGGUUGGGGAUGGACUCGCGGCUUAUCAGCUUGUUGGUGGGGUAGUGGCUUACCAAGGCUUUGACGGGUAGCCGGCCUGAGAGGGUGACCGGCCAAAUUGGAACUGAGAUACGGCCCAGACCCCUCGGGGGGGAAGGAGUGGGGAAUAUUGCACAAUGGGCGGAAGCCUGAGGCAGCAACGCCGGGUGGGGGAUGAGGGCUUUCGGGUUGUAAACCGCUUUCCCCUGGGACGAAGCGGGAGUGACGGUAAUGGGUAAAGAAGCACCGGCUAACUACGU
rnacentral:rRNA from 1 species